rnacentral:rRNA from 2 species
GAAUCUGGCUUCAGGUUCGGGACAACAGUUGGAAACGGCUGCUAAUACCGGAUGUGCCUUAGGGUGAAAGAUUUAUCACCUGAAGAUGAGCUCGCGUCUGAUUAGCUAGUAGGUGUGGUAAGAGCGCACCUAGGCGACGAUCAGUAGCUGGUCUGAGAGGAUGAUCAGCCACACUGGGACUGAGACACGGCCCAGACUCCUACGGGAGGCAGCAGUGGGGAAUUUUCCGCAAUGGGCGAAAGCCUGACGGAGCAAUACCGCGUGAGGGAGGAAGGCUCUUGGGUUGUAAACCUCUUUUCUCAGGGAAGAAUGAUGACGGUACCUGAGGAAUAAGCAUCGGCUAACUCCGUGCCAGCAGCCGCGGUAAUACGGAGGAUGCAAGCGUUAUCCGGAAUGAUUGGGCGUAAAGCGUCCGCAGGUGGCAAUGUAAGUCUGCUGUCAAAGCGUCUGGCUCAACCAGAUAAAGGCAGUGGAAACUACAUAGCUAGAGUAAGGUAGGGGUAGAGGGAAUUCCUGGUGUAGCGGUGAAAUGCGUAGAGAUCAGGAAGAACACCGGUGGCGAAAGCGCUCUGCUGGACCUUAACUGACACUGAGGGACGAAAGCUAGGGGAGCG